UACGUAGGGGGCAAGCGUUGUCCGGAUUUAUUGGGCGUAAAGAGCUCGUAGGCGGUUUGGUAAGUCAGGUGUGAAAUCUCCACGCUCAACGUGGAGGGGCCACCUGAUACUGCCAUGACUGGAGUCCGGUAGAGGAGUGUGGAAUUCCCGGUGUAGCGGUGAAAUGCGCAGAUAUCGGGAGGAACACCGGUGGCGAAGGCGGUUCUCUGGGCAUUACCUGACGCUGAGGAGCGAAAGCAUGGGGAGCGAACAGG
rnacentral:rRNA from 1 species